CCAAGGAGUCUAACAUGUGCGCGAGUCAUGGGGUCUUACGAAACCCAAAGGCGCAAUGAAAGUAAAGGCCUCCUCCGGAUGGCCCAGGCAAGAUCCCGCCGCCUAGUGCGGUGGGCGCACUGCCGGCCCGUCUCGACGGCAUCGUCCGCGAGGCGGAGCAAGAGCGCACACGUUGGGACCCGAAAGAUGGUGAACUAUGUCUGAGUAGGGCGAAGUCAGAGGAAACUCUGAUGGAGGCCCGCAGCGAUUCUGACGUGCAAAUCGAUCGUCAAACUUGGAUAUAGGGGCGAAAGACUAAUCGAACCAUCUA
rnacentral:rRNA from 1 species